UACGUAGGGCGCAAGCGUUGUCCGGAUUUAUUGGGCGUAAAGAGCUCGUAGGCGGACCUGCAAGUCGGGGGUGAAAGCCCGAGGCUCAACCUCGGAACUGCCUUCGAUACUGCGGGUCUCGAGUCCGGGAGAGGUGAGUGGAAUUCCUAGUGUAGAGGUGAAAUUCGUAGAUAUUAGGAAGAACACCAGUGGCGAAGGCGGCUCACUGGCCCGGUACUGACGCUGAGGCGCGAAAGCGUGGGGAGCAAACAGG
rnacentral:rRNA from 1 species